UACGAGUGCCCCGAGCGUUAUCCGGAAUCAUUGGGCGUAAAGGGUGUGUAGGUGGUCGUGUUAGUCUUUCGUCAAAACCUGGGGCUCAACCUCAGAUCUGCGAGAGAAACGGCACGACUGGAGGGUGCGAGGGGUCUGUGGAACUCAUGGAGUAGGGGUGAAAUCCGUUGAUAUCGGGAGGAACACCAGUGGCGAAGGCGGUUGCCUGGGGCUUUGCUGACGCUGAUGCGCGAAAGCGUGGGGAGCGAUCCGG
rnacentral:rRNA from 1 species